rnacentral:lncRNA from 1 species
UGCCUGACCUCUGAAGUUCCAGUUACAUGAGAUCAUUGGCCAGGGUGAGAGGAGAUUAGAUAUGUUUCAUACAGUUGCAGGUCCCUCUAGUUGUGGGAUGUGGGACGCCGCCUCAACGUGGCCUGACGAGCCAUGCCAUGUCCGCACCCAGGAUCCGAACCCUGGGCCGCCACAGCGGAGUGCGCGAACUUAACCACUCGGCCAUGGAGCUGGCCCCCAAAAAUAGAAUAGUAUGGAUAACAACCUCUGACGAUGCCCUAGAAAGAUUUUCAAGUGGCCUUUGCAGAUGUUUCUGGAAGAUUUUUCAACUUUGGGACAGCUGGACUGAAGGAGUUGAUGAGAGACAUCUUCGAAAAGUUCAUAACCAGAAGCCUGCCCUCAAGUGGAUUUGGGAACAUUAUUUGCAUUUUUCAAGCUGAGACUUUAGUUUAAAAUGCGUCCACGUAUGGUGUGUCUCCACUGGCCCAGCAGAAGUCAAUGCGAGCUCUGAAGAAACUCACCUUAAGCGUAGGCCUCAAAGAAUUACCAUGUCAAGAAACAUGAACACACUUGCAAGAUUAAAAAAUGUGAGGAAAUAAGACACUGUUAGAAAGUUAGCAGAAAUAACAAAGAUAUUCAAAUUACUGGGUAAAUACAUAAAACAAUUAU